UUGUGUCGCGCGGGGCCUGGCGCAGAGGCGGUAGCGGCGGCGGGAGGGUCCCGGGCCGCAUUGUGGCGGCGGCGGCCGCAGCCGCUGGGCCUGCAGCCCCCGCGCCCGGCUCCCGAGGGGGCGGCGCCGCCCAGGGACGCGGGGCCCGCCGGCCGGAUGCUCCCGGGGGGCCGGGUGCCGCAGCGGGCGGGGAUGCGGUGGCACCACCUGCCAGUGGCUUCUCUGAGUGCAUCCAAGGGUCUUUUCCUUUAUGCCGCGACACGGACGCGCGGCUCCAUCUCCUUCACCGCAGCGAGAGGGGUCUCCCAGGGCUCCGGGCUGGGGUCCGGGAAGCCUGGGCGCGAGGUCUGCGCUAGGUCCUUUUGUUGUGGCAGGGAGGGGGCGGUCGCCGCCCUGGGGUGCACCCUGUGCCCCUGGGCGCUGGGGUCCACGGCCGCAGUCCGCUACCAGGCUGCCACCGUUUGCGAAAGUUUCGGGGUCUUCUCCCCCCACCCCAUCCGACGUCUGUUCCAGACCUUUAGGAAAUUUGCCCAGCGGCCCAGGAAUCAUCCUUAGAAGAGGAGAAAAAAUUGGAACUAGGAGGCCCUAAUCACUUAGAAGAAGGGUGGAAAAAAAUCAUUUCCAGAGAAUGCUGGACAGCCCAUUUGGGUACCAGCCAGAAACAUCAAGCCUGCAACUGACAGUCAACCAGAACCAGCGAACAAGACUGAAUCUGCCCUGUUAGCGGAUGCACCUGCUACCAACUGUCAAGCUGCUGCCCUAUCAUCAUACCCUGACGAAUUGCCCAUAGCCACAUCCGCUACUGUUUUAUACCCACUAGCUCUGGUCAGCCACUCAAACGAUCCACAGCCUGUGCGCGGUCAUGCCAUUCCUGAUUACCAUUGUUGCUCAUUCCUACCCCCAUCUAAGCAAGCACUCCUGUGGUCUCCCGUUUUGAGGGCUGGUUAGUCAACGACGGGUAAGAUCCCCUGGGGGACAACCUAAGACAGGCACAGCCACGUAUGGAGACCACAUGGAAACGGGGUCAACAAUGGUAUGGCCAAAGAUCAUGCCUCCCGUUGGUCAAAAAUAAAUGAAAAAGGGGAAAUGUGGUGGAAUGAGAAGGCCAUGCCAAGAUGGCCCCUGGCAAGUGAGCAUCAGUUACUCAGGAAUGGCUUUGAAACCCACCUGGCAACAGAGCCUGCCUGGCAACAGGCAGUGAUUGGUUAGGGCAUAAACUGCCCCUUGACCGGAUUGGCUGCCUUGGCUAUAUAAGCUGCUGUACCAACUGAAAUAAAUGAGUCUGCAAGCUGCUUGCCUCUGGCCUGCUUUCACUUGACUCCCGGGGUCUGUGUGGUGACUCCAUGCCUCUUGCCCCCAUUGCGCUCCUCCUCUCAUAACGAAUCCAUAGCAAUACCUUUUUAAAGUGCUUUUUUUGUUUGUUUGUUUUUUUACAAUACAAGAAGGAUCUUGAAAAUUUAGGGUUUUUCCCCCUCUUAUUCUGGAGAUGAGGAAACCCAGGCUAAGAGAAGUAAAUUGACAUAUCUAUGGAAGGUAGAAUAAUGGCCUCUGUUCAGCAAGUAUUUUGAACCCUUGGUUUUAUAUAAAAUAUGUAAAGACAUUCUCAAAUAUGAAAACUGGUGAGAUCUUUUGGGAUUGCAGGAAGUAGCAAACAGCUUAAAAAAGAUAUCUCAGAACUUAAUACCAAGUUUCUGAAAGAUAAUAAAACUGUUAUCUUGUUUGUACACCAUAGGGAUAAAUAAGGAGCAGUUUAAUGAAGACUCAACUAUUUCCAAGUCAAAUAAACAUUUUAAUUUGCUAAGACUUGCUUAUUUGAGCUCAGAACUUGAAAAGAAAGGUGACUGAAUUUGUAUCAGGGGAUGGCUUUUUAAUGUCAAUUUCAGUGCUAAAAGGCGUUGAGCACUUGGUGAGUUACAGUAGUAACUGAAAGCAAUCACUAGUAGCCCCAGUUUAGUGGAUGAGUUCACUCCCUUCCUCUUUAUACUGAUAGUGUUACAGUAUGGUUAUAUUUUGCUUCCUUUGGCUUUGAUUUCACAUUGGUAGCUUAAAUCUUUUCUCUUGGAGGGAAUGGUCAACACGAAGUGUUUUCUAGUGGAAAUUUAUCUUAAUAAUGUGCAAAUUAAAGCACAUGUAUCUUGGGUCUUAAUUUAUAUUAAUAUUUAUUGAUUAUUAUGAUUAAUAUUUUAGUAACUUGGAUGAAGACAUUGCUAAUACUUCUUAUGAAAUAAAGGCAAAAAGUUUGAAAAAUUUAGAUCCGAAAUGAUAACUGUGAGCUAUAACUAUGGCAGUAACAAAGUUGUAGAAUAGAUUAAAUUAGUUUUAUUCAUCAGUGGGGAAAAGAUCUUUCAGGUGACUAAAGCCUUAAUUAAGCGAAGAGUGAGCGGAGAGUCUGAUCUGGGUACCAGAACUGCUGGGGAGAUGUGGCGCUGCCUUGAUGAAGGCUUGAUGACUGUUUCUAGAAAAUGGAUUUGGGGCCGGCGCCACGGCUCAAUAGGCUAAUCCUCCACCAGCGGCGCUGGCACACCGGGUUCUAGUCCCAGUUGGGGCGCCGGAUUCUGUCCCGGUUGCCCCUCUUCCAGGCCAGCUCUCUGCUGUGGCCAGGGAGUGCAGUGGAGGAUGGCCCAAGUACUUGGGCCCUGCACCCCAUGGGAGACCAGGAUAAGUACCUGGCUCCUGCCUUUGGAUCAUCGUGGUGCGCCGGCUGCAGCGCGCCGGCCGCGGCAGCCAUUGGAGGGUGAACCAACGGCAAAGGAAGACCUUUCUCUCUGUCUCUUUCUCUCACUGUUCACUCUGCCUGUAAAAAAAAAGAAAGGAAAAAGAAAAUGGAUUUGGACGUAGUCCUAUUGUGUCAUGAGCUGGUGUGAUCACACUUGGAUGCUUGUCUUUGGUCUUACGAUUGCUGCUGGCCAUCCAGAACCCAUCUGAAGGGAGGCUUGUGCUCAGGUCUGAUAUGCUGUGGGAAUCCUUACCGUGUCAUUGCAGUCGGUGACAUUUGCUGCUGCAGGGCAGCAAAUGUGUGUCCUGCACUCACACAGCCCUGCCGCAGGCCCCUCGUUGUCCUUGGUCUUUGCAGGCUCAGCUCCAGAAUAGCUGAACUGAACUCCCCAGGUGCAGGAACUCCAGGCAGUUGUUUUGUUUUUGUGAAGGAUGACAUCCAAAUGAAUAGCUCCAAACUUUUGUUUGUGAAAGGUGAUCCAGUCCAGGAAAUAUUUAGUUGCACAGAGAAAAAAAAAACACAGCAAGCAUAGGAAGCUUCACUUAUUUUAAGGACCACUGUUGUGUUAGCUUUCAAUUGCUGCCUUAAUAAAUUAGCACGCAUUUAGUGGUUUAAAAUACCCAUAUUGUUGCACCAUGGCCUAAGCUGCUGCCUGCAAAGCUUGCAUCCCCUAUGAGCACUGCUCUGCUUCUGAUCCAGCUCCCUGCCAAGGCACCUGGGAAAGCAGGGAAAGAUGACCCAAGUACUUGGGCCCCUAACAUACACAUGGUUGAUCCAUAUAGAGUUUGAGGCUUCUGGCUUCAGCCUGGCCCAGCCCUGGCUGUUGCGGCCAUUUGGGGAGUGAACCAGCUGAUGGAAGAUCUCUUUUUCUCUGACUCUCCCUCCCUCUCUGUUCAGUCUGCCUUCAAACAAAAAAUAAACAAAUACAUAAAUCUUAGCAUACUCAUUAUUAUUUCACAGUUUUCAUGGGCUAGAAGUUUGGGCCUGGUGUGGUUCAGCUGCGUUUCUGCUUGGGGUCUCACAUGUCACAGUCUGGGCAGGAGCAGGGCAGAGCCUCCCUUGUGAGAGGCUCAGCAAGAAUCUGCUUCCAGUCACCACGUUGUCACAAUUCAGUCCUUUGCAGGUGUAGGGCUUAAGGCCUUGUUGCUCUGCUAUCUGUCAGCCAGGAGCCUGUCUUUGCUCCCAGAGCCACCUGUCU